GAGGAUUCAGACAAUAAUAUCUAAAGGCAAUCAUGGGACCUUGAACCAGCUGGAGCUGAAGGCUCCUGCCUGUGAGCCCUCCAGGGAGGGACCGCUGCAUUCCUCCCCCCACAUCAGGGCCUGGCAUGCUGCAAGUGCUCUUGCAGCUCGGAUACUGUUGCAAGAAUGGCUGAAUGAAGGAGGGUCUCCCCAAACUACAGUAAGCUCCUCUGCUGCUGGAGGGUCCCGUGCUCCCUCCCUCAGCAGAAGUUUCUUUUCACACCCUCCAAGCCACACCACCACAUUUUGGGAGAGAUAUGCAGCAUCAGAUUCCUGAGAGAGAGAUGUCAAGCACCACUGAAGAAAGUCAUGUGCAAAGAGGCUACGUGGAGUCCAGCAGGUUGUUUGUCACAUAGCCUGAAGCAUCAUUGAAAGCAUACAUCCUCAACCUCUUCUUCCUUUGAGGGCAGUUUUUAUAUUUGGAAAUGGCAAACAAGGCUGAGAUUGAGGUAGGUCAAUAAGCUGGAUAAUACCAUGUGGGAUAAAAAUCUUCUGACAACCAGCAUCAAGAAAGUGGUUAAGACAGGGAUUUUACUUGUUUGUUUUGGGGUUUUGGUGGUUUGCUGUUUUUGUGUUGCAGAAUCAAUGGAAUGAUUUCUUCUUCUUUUUUUCUUUCUUUCUUUCUUUUCUUUUUUUUUUUUGCUUUUUGCUUUUUUUCAGUGCUAGGGGUAGAACCCAGAGCCACUGCAUGAUACAAGGCAAGCACUUUACCACUGAGCAACAUCCCCAGUCCCACUGAGUAAUUUGAGAACUAUUCUUGAAGUGCAUCCCACAAUCAGGUACCCACUCAGGCAUGGGAUCCCUGCCCUGGAGGUGAGAGAGGGUCUCAGUCUACUGGGGAGACAAACAGGCAACUCAUGAGACCUAAUUACUUACCAUCUCAUCACAAAGCUUGAGACCUUGUCUACACUCUGACCCCCACCCUGCCCCACCCAACCCACCAGUCCCUUCCCUUUGUCACUUUCUUCUGGCCUCUGCUCAGAACACUGAACACUGCUGGAGAAGACUUCUCAGCCAGGUACAAUGCCAGGGCUAC
rnacentral:lncRNA from 1 species